CCGGGGCCUCGGGGUGGCAGCUCAGGGGCACGGACGAGCACAGCGGGUGGGUGAUCUUUCUUGGUAGCUCAGGUCCUUCCUCAUCGGUGUCUGAGCUCCUUGGUUGUCAUGAAAGACCACAGGAAUACCCCUUUCUACUCUCUUAUGCCAUGGAUGGCUUUAUGACGUUCAGUAAGGAGUCAGACCACCAUUCCCACGGGUCUCGCCAUGUAGUUCUUGCUGUCCUUGAAUUCACUGUUCAGCAGUGACAGGCUGCUUUCAAACUCACAGAAACCCACCUGCCUCUACCUCCCCAAGUACUGGGAUUCAAGGCGGAACCCUGGAACUCGGGUUCUUAGACUCUGCAGCAAGCAUCCUUACUCCCUGAGCCAUCUUACCGUCUCUCCACAACAGUUUUUGGACAGGAUCAGUAUUCCUGCUUUUUGAAACAUUUGAUAAUAGUGACCAGUGACUCUGUCUAGGAAUGGCAUCUCCUUUGUGAGCGGACUGUAAUCACCUAUCAGUUCGUUUACUUGCUUUUGAUCUUUCACACCUUUCUAUUUCUCCCUGAAUCAGUUUUGAUAGUUUAUUGCUUUUCAGGAAUUUGUUAUUUCAUUUAAUUAGUGAGUAAUUCAGAUUUCAAUAAUUUGUGCAUUUUUUCUUUAUUUAUUUAAAUAAAUUUAUUUUUAUUUUUGUGAGACAGUGUCUCGUGUAUCCCAAGCUAUCUGAAACUUCCCUUGAACUUGCUUUGACCUUGAACCCUUUGGUCCUCCUGCCUUAGCUUCCCAGGUGUUGGGUUUGUGUGUGUGUGUGUGUGUGUGUGUGUGUAUGUGCCAGAGAGGGUGUCAGUGUCAGAUCCCCAGUGGGCUGAGUUACAAGUGGUUGUUAGCAGCCUGACACAGGGAUUGGGAACCCAGCUCUUGUUCUUUUGGAAAAGCAGUAUGCACUCUUAACUGUCAAGCUCUCUCCAGCCACAUCUGACACCCAGUUUUAUGAGAUGCUAAAGAUUGAACCCAGGGCUCGGCC
rnacentral:lncRNA from 1 species